UGUAUUCACUACUGUAAGUCGCUCUGGAUAAGAGCGUCUGCUAAACGACUAAAA
rfam:Salmo salar isolate Sally breed double haploid chromosome ssa23, whole genome shotgun sequence.